rnacentral:rRNA from 2 species
GUUAAGCGACUAAGCGUACACGGUGGAUGCCCUGGCAGUCAGAGGCGAUGAAGGACGUGCUAAUCUGCGAUAAGCGUCGGUAAGGUGAUAUGAACCGUUAUAACCGGCGAUUUCCGAAUGGGGAAACCCAGUGUGAUUCGUCACACUAUCAUUAACUGAAUCCAUAGGUUAAUGAGGCGAACCGGGGGAACUGAAACAUCUAAGUACCCCGAGGAAAAGAAAUCAACCGAGAUUCCCCCAGUAGCGGCGAGCGAACGGGGAGCAGCCCAGAGCCUGAAUCAGUGUGUGUGUUAGUGGAAGCGUCUGGAAAGGCGCGCGAUACAGGGUGACAGCCCCGUACACAAAAAUGCACAUGCUGUGAGCUCGAUGAGUAGGGCGGGACACGUGGUAUCCUGUCUGAAUAUGGGGGGACCAUCCUCCAAGGCUAAAUACUCCUGACUGACCGAUAGUGAACCAGUACCGUGAGGGAAAGGCGAAAAGAACCCCGGCGAGGGGAGUGAAAAAGAACCUGAAACCGUGUACGUACAAGCAGUGGGAGCACGCUUAGGCGUGUGACUGCGUACCUUUUGUAUAAUGGGUCAGCGACUUAUAUUCUGUAGCAAGGUUAACCGAAUAGGGGAGCCGAAGGGAAACCGAGUCUUAACUGGGCGUUAAGUUGCAGGGUAUAGACCCGAAACCCGGUGAUCUAGCCAUGGGCAGGUUGAAGGUUGGGUAACACUAACUGGAGGACCGAACCGACUAAUGUUGAAAAAUUAGCGGAUGACUUGUGGCUGGGGGUGAAAGGCCAAUCAAACCGGGAGAUAGCUGGUUCUCCCCGAAAGCUAUUUAGGUAGCGCCUCGUGAAUUCAUCUCCGGGGGUAGAGCACUGUUUCGGCAAGGGGGUCAUCCCGACUUACCAACCCGAUGCAAACUGCGAAUACCGGAGAAUGUUAUCACGGGAGACACACGGCGGGUGCUAACGUCCGUCGUGAAGAGGGAAACAACCCAGACCGCCAGCUAAGGUCCCAAAGUCAUGGUUAAGUGGGAAACGAUGUGGGAAGGCCCAGACAGCCAGGAUGUUGGCUUAGAAGCAGCCAUCAUUUAAAGAAAGCGUAAUAGCUCACUGGUCGAGUCGGCCUGCGCGGAAGAUGUAACGGGGCUAAACCAUGCACCGAAGCUGCGGCAGCGACGCUGAUGCGUUGUUGGGUA